ACACGCAUGACACACUGCAUAUCAAUAAGCGGAGGAAAAGAAACUAACAAGGAUUCCCUUAGUAACGGCGAGUGAAGCGGGAAGAGCUCAAAUUUGAAAUCUUCAAGGGUUCUACCUUGACGAAUUGUAGUUUAUAGAAGUGUUUUCUGUUAGUAGAGUGGCAAAAGUUCUUUGGAAUAGGACAUCAUAGAGGGUGAGAAUCCCGUAUUUGGUCAUUCUUUCUAGCUUUGUGAUACACUUUCAACGAGUCGGAUUGUUUGGGAAUGCAGUCCAAAAUGGGUGGUAAAUUUCAUCUAAAGCUAAAUAUUGGCGAGAGACCGAUAGCGAACAAGUACCGUGAGGGAAAGAUGAAAAGAACUUUGAAAAGAGAGUUAAACAGUACGUGAAAUUGUCAAAAGGGAAGCGUUUGACACCAGUGUUGUUUUUCCGAAAAUCAAUUACGAAUGUUUUGUUUUUAAGAAGUUAUGACUUCAUCGGCUUGCUUCUCUCUUUACGAAACUUUCUUAAUGCACUUUUCGGUUAACAAGUCAACAUCAAUUUCUUUUGUUGUAAAAGGGUACGAGGAAGGUGGCUUUCUUUUCGGAGAAAGUGUUUAUAGCCUUGUACCUCUGCAAUCGGAGAGAUUGAGGUCUGCAGCGUAGAUCCUUCGGGGUUAGAUGCAUUUAGUGCUAAGUUAUAGUCCUUUCAUAGACAACUUGUUGACUAUGAUCGAUCAUGUAGCUUACUCGCUUAUGUCAUUUUACCUACGCUUAGGAUGUUGACGCAUGAGAUAUACGC
rnacentral:rRNA from 1 species